GUUUACACUCACCCCGUCAAACACAGAGUUUCGUAUUGACGUUGGCUCAGGAUUCCUGACUACAACUAAACAGUUCAACUACCUGACUGACCCCAGAAGCUAUGCCUUCAACCUGACAGUGAGUAAUGGAAACAACAGCGUAUCCAGAACACUGGUCAUCAACAUCGUCAACAGGAACGAUGAUAAACCUCAGUUCCCUAAAUACAAUCACAGACUUCACAGUCUCUGAGGAGCUGAGUCCAGGGUUUAUCGUGACCAGCAUCACAGCAGUGGUGCCCGAUGACUCCUUGUACGUCAUCUACAGCAUCGGCACCAACAACUACCUGGCUAUACACAGAUGAUCCCAGAACCAACACCUCCAAAGAGGGAAAUAUUAAUGGAAGUGAUCAAGAUCAACACUGUAUUUGAUGGAGAGGAAGUUGAUCCUGUCACAGGGAGGGUGUACGAGUACAACAGUAAGUCUGGAGCCAGACGCUGGAAGGACGUCACCACUGUGUCUGAGUCUGUCCCUAUGAUACAGCCAGAGAGCAGCAGCAUGGUCAUUCUGCCCAAUCACAGGCUAGGAGUGGGAGGGCUAGCACUGGCCAAUCAAAAAUGAGGAGUGAGGGAGUAGGCAGGGCCACAGAGGAUAGAGGAUCUCCCUGGUCCAGUCAGAGCAGACAAACGUCUGGGCAGUCUGCAAGGUCUGCUCGGUUUGCUCUUUCAGAAGGAGGCGUAAAGUUAGAUAUGGUACCCAUGACAACUAGGGGAAGGCCCAACAUGUCUGAAGUCUGAUUCCUCACUGACAUAUAAUACAUUACUUGUGUGUUUAGAAAUCUUUCAAAUCAUUAUUAUAGUCAAGCAUAGGAUUUUUGUGUUGGGAAAAAUGUUUAGCCUUUACAGCAGUUGUGUAAAUGUUUGUGAAGAUAACGUACGUGCAGAGAUACUCAAAGACCGGUCCUCCACAGGCCAUCAACUAACAGUUGGGCACUACAGUCAGACCCUUCAUCAUUGGUCAGGCCCUUUUCACACAUGGAAGUUCUCAGCAGUCAUACGAAUGACACAGUUGUCCGUCAGAUACUCCUGGGAAGAGAAGCAUCCGUGAUCAUUUAAUCAUUUAAUCGCAGGGAUUAGACAAGCAAACAACACCUUCCACAUUGCAGCCGGCUUUG